AACAAGUUGGGUACCGCAAGAAUAUAAGGAGCAUUUGAACCUUAAGACGUUUCUCACGACAACAGGAGGCAUAUACACUGUCUUGGCCACGUCUGAAACACGCCGAGGAUUGUGCAAGGUUGACUAUGACAUCAAUGUCACAGACACUCAAGUGUAUUUCAACAGAAGCUACACUCCAGGACAAGAAGGAUGGUGCUGACAGAGGUGCAGAGCAGUUGGUGCACCAAGAUGAUGAGCACAAGUGUGGAAUAUUGUUUGCUGUGCGGAAGCAAAUAUUCGCCAACCAGUGGUACGACAGCUGCGAACUACGUGUAAAUUCUGCUCACUCUCCACCAAUCACGGCUCGAGAAUGCAUAGAGAGCUUUAUAAGAAUCUGCGAUCCAGAACACAUUGUGGCCCAGACUGUAUGGCCAACAUUCUGCGUAUACAUUGUUUCUAGCCCAACAGGAGUCAAAAGCGCAGCGAGAAGCAAAUAUAUUCGGCAGUUGUACAAAAUUGCUAAAACGUAGCACUCGCCUGGUGAACCACCUCUUGGCUACCCAAAGGAUUUCUCAGUAGAGUACUACAGGGUUAUACCCCGUUCUUCCUUAGCACG